rnacentral:misc_RNA from 1 species
AAGUCGUAACAAGGUUUCCGUAGGUGAGUAACAGACUGAUGUCUUUCCCCUUCUCCCUCAUCCGAAUAAAUGCUAACAUAUAAUUUUAUAGGUGAACCUGCGGAAGGAUCAUUACUGAGUCAGGGUUCUUUCGAGCCCGAUCUCCAACCCUAUGUUAAACUACCUUUGUUGCUUUGGCAGGCCCGUUCUUAACGGGACCGCCGGAGGUGUUUAGUCACCUCUGGCCCGUGCCUGCCAGUAGCCUACACAAAUUCUUUUACAAUUUGUCUUAAGUAUUAAAUAUAAAUUUAAUCAAAA